ACUGCUCAGUAACACGUGGCUAAUCUGCCCUUAGGACGAGAACAACCCCGGGAAACAGGGGCUAACUCUUGAUAGGUGAAGAACUCUGGAAUGAGUCUUUGCCUAAAAAGAUUCACGUUAUCCUCGUGAACCUGCCUAAGGAUGAGGCCGCGACCGAUCAGGUUGUUGGCGAGGUAAUGGCUCACCAAGCCUUUUACCGGUGCGGGCCGUGGGAGCGGGAGCCCGGAGAUGGGUACUGAGACAAGGACCCAGGCCCUACGGGGCGCAGCAGUCGCGAAACCUUUGCAAUAAGCGAAAGCUUGACAGGGCUAUCCCGAGUGCCAUCCGCUGAGGAAGGCUUUUACCCAGUCUAGAACGCUGGGGGAAUAAGGAGAGGGCAAGUCUGGUGUCAGCCGCCGCGGUAAUACCAGCUCUCCGAGUGGUGUGGAUGUUUAUUGGGCCUAAAGCAUCCGUAGCUGGCUAAGUUAGUCCCUUGUUAAAUCCACCGAAUUAAUCGUUGGAUCGCGGGGGAUACUGCUUGGCUAGGGGACGAGAGAGGCAGACGGUAUUUUCGGGGUAGGGGUGAAAUCCUAUAAUCCCGGGAAGACCACCAGUGGCGAAGGCUGUCUGCUAGAACGCGCCCGACGGGGAGGGAUGAAAGCUGGGGGAGCGAACCGGAUUAGAUACCCGGGUAGUCCCAGCUGUAAACGAUGCAGACUAGGUGUUUGGACGGCCACGUGCCGUUCUAGUGCCGCAGGGAAGCUGUUAAGUCUGCCGCCUGGGGAGUACGAUCGCAAGAUUGAAACUUAAAGGAAUUGGCGGGGGAGCAC
rnacentral:rRNA from 1 species